GCAUCGGGAGCUUAACAUGCAGUCGUACGAUGACCUCCUUCGGGAGGGGAUUAGUGGCGAACGGGUGAGUAACACGUGGGCAAUCUGCCCUGCACUCUGGGACAAGCCCUGGAAACGGGGUCUAAUACCGGAUACUGAUCAUCUUGGGCAUCCUUGGUGAUCGAAAGCUCCGGCGGUGCAGGAUGAGCCCGCGGCCUAUCAGCUUGUUGGUGAGGUAACGGCUCACCAAGGCGACGACGGGUAGCCGGCCUGAGAGGGCGACCGGCCACACUGGGACUGAGACACGGCCCAGACUCGUCUAGUCGGGUAGGCAGCAGUGGCGAAUAUUGCACAAUGGGCGCAAGCCUGAUGCCAGCGACGCCGCGUGAGGGAUGACGGCCUUCGAGUUGUAAACCUCUCUCACCAGGCAAGAAGCUGCAAUUUCGUUGACGGUACCUGCAGAUUAGAAGCGCCGGCUAACUACGUGCCAGCAGCCGCGGUAAUACGUAGGGUCGCGAGCGUUGUCCGGAAUUAUUGGGCGUAAAGAGCUCGUAGGCGGCGUGUCGCGUCGGCUGUGAAAGACCGGGGCUUAACCCCGGGUCUGCAGUCGAUACGGGCAGGCUAGAGGUAGGUAGGGGGAGACUCGGAAUUCCUGGUGUAGCGGUGAAAUGCGCAGAUAUCAGGAGGAACACCGGUGGCGAAGGCGGAUCUCUGGGCCGAUACCUGACGCUGAGGAGCGAAAGCAUGGGGAGCGAACAGGAUUAGAUACCCUGGUAGUCCACGCCGUAAACGGUGGGCACUAGGUGUGGGCGACAUUUCCACGGUCGUCCGCGCCGCAGCUAACGCAUUAAGCGCCCCGCCUGGGGAGUACGGCCGCAAGGCUAAAACUCAAAGGAAUUGACGGGGGCCCGCACAAGCGGCGGAGCAUGUUGUCUUAAUUCGACGCAACGCGAAGAACCUUACCAAGCUUUGACAUACACCCGUGAAAGCAUCGCAGAGAUGUGACCCCAUUUAGUUGGCGGUGUGACAGGUGGUGCAUGGCUGUCGUCAGCUCGUGUCGUGAGAUGUUGGGUUAAGUCCCGCAACGAGCGCAACCCUUGUUCCAUGUUGCCAGCAGCAUAAUGGUGCUGGACUCACGGGAGACUGCAGGGGUCAACUCGGAGGAAGGUGGGGACCACGUCAAGUCAUCAUGCCCCUUAUGUCUUGGGCUGCAAACAUGUCUACAAUUGGCCGGUACAAUAGGCGUGAGAUACCGUAAGGUGGAGCGAAUCUCCUAAAAGCCGGUCUCAAUUCGGAUUGGGGUCUGCAACUCGACCCCAUGAAGGUGGAGUCGCUAGUAAUCGCGGAUCAGCAACGCCGCGGUGAAUACGUUCCCGGGCCUUGUACACACCGCCCGUCACGUCAUGAAAGUCGGCAACACCCGAAACUUGCGUCCUAACCCUCUUGUGCGAGGGAGUGAGGAAUGUGGCUAGCUCU
rnacentral:rRNA from 2 species